rnacentral:lncRNA from 1 species
UGAGGGUCAAUCAAUGAGCCAAAAGGUAACCAGUCGUACUCUGGAAAAAUUUGGGUCCUCUGGUUACAAAGGAGCUGUCAUGACGUAGUUUGCUGACUUAGAUGGCUGAAGAAAAGUGCUUCUGCUGGUGAGAUAACCAAUGCUUGUGAUCAAUGCCCACAGCCGUCUCCCAGCAAGAACCCCGGGGCACAUCUGCAGGGUGCAGGGGUGGUCGGGGGACACUCUCGUUCCAACCAGAAGAGUUGUAAUAGUUAAACAGAGUCCAGUGAGUGAUGUUCUUUAUUGUCUCUUCAUUAGCAAGCUAGAACAGAAGAUGGAGGUGUGGGGUAGGUUACAGAACAGACUGAUACGAGCUGUGAGAAAUUCUCUCUGGGAAAAGGAGCAUCCACAUCACACAAUGGGGGCCACAGAAGACUUCCUGGAGGCAGUGACAGCUGGGCCAAAACCUCAAGGAGGAUUAGUCAACUAGUCAAACAUGAGGAGAGGGGUGGAGAGAGAGGCAAGAUAGAAUUUUGCCCUGUGGCAGAAAUGUGAGGCUCAGGAGGGUAGAGCAGUCUCCUGGGUAGGAGGGAAGCCAGAGAUGAGGGGGGAGGAGAGGUUAGGGCCAGAUUCAGUCACUUCUAUGCUUAGAACAGUUUUCUGUUAGCAUCAGGAAAAAGUUCCUACAGCUCAAUAAUAAGGAGGGAAGGGGUGGAGAAGAGGGGCAUCAGCAUCAUCGGGACCUCCUUUGCUCUAAAUUUUUCACUCUUCUGCUCCACUCCAGUUCCCUGUUGACCCAGCUG